rnacentral:rRNA from 1 species
GUCUUUUUGAAUUUUAUUUAAAGUCUAAUCUGCCCACUGAUAAAUUUAAUUUAAUGGCCGCAGUAUCUUAACUGUGCAAAGGUAGCAUAAUCAUUAGUCUUUUAAUUGGAGGCUUGUAUGAAUGAUUGGACGAAAUAUAAGCUGUCUUAAUUUUAUGUAUUGAAUUUUAUUUUUUAGUUAAAAAGCUAAAAUUUGUUUAAAAGACGAGAAGACCCUAUAGAUCUUAAUUAAUUAUAUAUUUAUUUUUUUAGGUUAUUUUUUAAAAUAAUAUUUUAAUUUAUUUUAUUGGGGUGAUAUUGAAAUUAAUUUAACUUUCAAUUAUUAUAAUCCAUUGAUUUAUGAAAUUUUGAUCCUUUAUUAUUGAUUAAAAAUUUAAGUUACCUUAGGGAUAACAGCGUAAUUAUUUUGGAGAGUUCUUAUCGAUAAAAUAGGUUGCGACCUCGAUGUUGGAUUAAGAUUAAUUCUGGGGGUAGAUUUUCAGUUUAUUAAGUCUGUUCGACUUUUAAUUUCUU